UGCGCGGGAAGUAAUUGACGAAGGCGAAUCCACGGCAUUGGUCAAUCGCAUGGAAAAGCGGGUUCCAGUCAAACAUGGCCAACAUCGUCGGGGGCAGAGAAUUGGCCACGAACAUCUUGCCUGAUGCAAUCAUGUUGGCCCGU
rnacentral:ncRNA from 1 species